rnacentral:tRNA from 1 species
GCGGACGUAGCGCAGCUGGUAGCGCAGAACCUGGCCAAGGGGAAGGGCGCGGGGUCGAAUCCCGUCGUCCGCU